AGAACGAACGCUGGCGGCAUGCCUAACACAUGCAAGUCGAACGCGUGGAGCAAUCCACGAGUGGCGGACGGGUGAGUAACGCGUGGGAACCUGCCCUGGAGUGUGGGAUAACCGAGGGAAACUUCGGCUAAUACCGCAUACGACCUGAGGGUGAAAGAUUUAUCGCUCUAGGAGGGGCCCGCGUCGGAUUAGCUAGUUGGUGGGGUAAAGGCCUACCAAGGCAGUGAUCCGUAGCUGGUCUGAGAGGAUGAUCAGCCACACUGGGACUGAGACACGGCCCAGACUCCUACGGGAGGCAGCAGUGGGGAUAUUGGACAUGGGGGCAACCCUGAUCCAGCAAUGCCGCGUGAGUGAUGAAGGCCUUAGGGUUGUAAAGCUCUUUCGCGUCGCGACGAUGAUGACGGUAGCGCGAGAAGAGCCCCGGCUAACUUCGCGCCAGCAGCCGC
rnacentral:rRNA from 1 species